rnacentral:lncRNA from 1 species
CAGGGCAGAUUUAUGGGGAAUAUCAAUCACUCUUCUCUUCUGGACCAAUUUCUUAACCUUUGGAAAGCUCAGGACCUAGUAUCAGGGUGGGUGAUAGAAGCUGGUAGUGGAAGAGGACAGGGAAGUGCUUGGGCUGUGUUCGUGGUAGGGCAGUACAGUGCCGUCCUGGAGGUGAUUGGAAUAGCUGGUUUGCCAUUUCAUCACUGGGGUUCUGAACAGGGCCAGGCUGACAGGUGGAGAAACAAGCCAGAGCUCCCUGUCUGAAAAGGACAUAGAGCCUUGCGCUCAGCAGAGGGGAGCUUGGCUAAUGGGGCGACCCAGUGGGCUCCCAUGGGCUGGGGCAGGCAACCACCCAUCCUCAACCCCGUUGUUUCUGCCUUCCUACCAGACAGACCUCUGGGGAUGGAGAGAGAAACAGUUGAGUAGAUCAUGAGCUGAUUAGAGAGAGAGAACCCCUGAUCCUGAAUGCUGGAGUUACUGAGAAGGGCCAGCAUCCUACGAUGGAAAGAACCCAGCAUGGUCACACCGUCUGACUCCUUCUUGGGACUCUACGGGCUAGCUAUGUGGGAGAGUCAGCCCUGCCCCUCCUCUACCACAGAACCCUAUCAUGGUUUACAGUGACAUAGGUAACAGUUGGGGAGCCAGGUGCAUUCAGGGUCAGUAGGCAGGACAAAAUAGGGGACUCUACGUGCAGUGAGGAAAGGCUGCCUUCACGGUGUAGCCUUGCCUCACUGUCAAUAUUUGUUUUCUCCGGAGAGUCACCAGUGACCCAAGCUCUCCUUGCCAGCCUCCUGUGUCAAACCAGGUCCCUUCUCAGUACUGUAAUGGCUCAGUGCUUCAGGAGUGGGUGUGCGAGUGUGUGUGUGAGUGUGUGUGGGUGUGAGUGGGUGUGUACGUACCAAUAAACCUGGUUUUAAGACAAUGUACAAA